AGAGUUUGAUCCUGGCUCAGGACGAACGCUGGCGGCGUGCCUAACACAUGCAAGUCGAGCGGAGGUAGUUUGAUGGUAACUGAUAACUACUUUAGCGGCGGACGGGUGAGUAACACGUGGGCAACCUGCCUCGAAGUGGGGGAUAACACCGAGAAAUCGGUGCUAAUACCGCAUAAUAUACAGACAUCACCUGAUGACUGUAUCAAAGGAGAAAUCCGCUUUGAGAUGGGCCCGCGGCUGAUUAGCUAGUUGGUGAGGUAAUGGCUCACCAAGGCGACGAUCAGUAGCCGACCUGAGAGGGUGACCGGCCACACUGGAACUGAGACACGGUCCAGACUCCUACGGGAGGCAGCAGUGGGGAAUAUUGCGCAAUGGGCGAAAGCCUGACCCAGCAACGCCGCGUGAGGAAGAAGGUCUUCGGGUCGUAAAACUCUGUCCUAUGGGAAGAAAAAAAUGACGGUAGCCAAGGAGGAAGCCCCGGCUAACUACGUGCCAGCAGCCGCGGUAAUACGUAGGGGGCGAGCGUUGUCCGGAUUUACUGGGCGUAAAGGGCGUGUAGGCGGUUGGAAAAGUCAGGUGUGAAAGGCUACGGCUCAACCUUGGGAGUGCAUUUGAAACUGAAGGGCUCGAGUGCAGGAGAGGUAAGUGGAAUUCCUAGUGUAGCGGUGAAAUGCGUAGAUAUUAGGAGGAACACCAGUGGCGAAGGCGACUUACUGGACUGUAACUGACGCUGAGUCACGAAAGCGUGGGUAGCAAACAGGAUUAGAUACCCUGGUAGUCCACGCUGUAAACGAUGAGUGCUAGGUGUUGGGUAUCGACCCCUUCCGUGCCGCAGUAAACGCAAUAAGUAUCCCGCCUGGGGAGUACGGCCGCAAGGUUGAAACUCAAAGGAAUUGACGGGGGCCCGCACAAGCAGCGGAGCAUGUGGUUUAAUUCGAAGCAACGCGAAGAACCUUACCAGAACUUGACAUCCCUCUGGUCUGCAUUACUCUUAAUCGAGGAAGCCCUUCGGGGCAGAUAGACAGGUGGUGCAUGGUUGUCGUCAGCUCGUGUCGUGAGAUGUUGGGUUAAGUCCCGCAACGAGCGCAACCCUUAUUGCUAGUUGCCAGCACAUAAGUUGGGCACUCUAGUGAGACUGCCGGAGACAAUUCGGAGGAAGGUGGGGAUGACGUCAAAUCAUCAUGCCCCUUAUGUUCUGGGCUACACACGUGCUACAAUGGCCUGUACAGAGGGAAGCGAAACCGCGAGGUGAAGCAAAUCUUUUAAAGCCGGUCCCAGUUCGGAUUGCAGGCUGAAACUCGCCUGCAUGAAGUUGGAGUUGCUAGUAAUCGCGGAUCAGCAUGCCGUGGUGAAUGCGUUCCCGGGUCUUGCACACACCGCCCGUCCACACCAUGGAAGUUGGGGGGACCCGAAGCCAGUGAUCCAACCGUAAGGAGGAAGCUGUCGAAGGUAAAACCAAUGACUGGGGUGAAGUCGUAACAAGGUAACC
rnacentral:rRNA from 1 species